rfam:Capsicum annuum cultivar Zunla-1 chromosome 12, whole genome shotgun sequence
AGACUGUUGGUGAUGUGGAUAUUCCCUAAGAAGAGCCUUGAACUGCUCCCAAGCAUGAUAGGGAUUCUCAUCUAGCUUCUGUUUGAAGCAUACUAUCUCACUACAAAGUCU